AUGCAAAUCGGCGCCGCGAGCUCUGUCGUGCGACUGGUGAGCUUGUAUCCAAUAUCCGCGCACAAGGGCAGCGGUGGCCGGCCGCGCCGGGAGCACGGGGUGAUGAAGGGCCCGGACAAGAGGAGCAGCACGCAGGGGAGCGCCGCGUUCCAGUCGCUGCGGCUCGUCUUCGUCCUCGCGACCGUCAUGUGGGCGUCCUUCCUCUACUACCACUUCACCGCGCUCAGCGCCGGGGCAAUGAGGGCGACGGUGCUGGACGGCGCCAGCGCCGACCCGUGCCGGGGCCGGUACGUCUACGUGCACGACCUGCCGCCGCGCUUCAACGCCGACAUCCUCCGCGACUGCCAGAACACCAGCGACCAGUACCGCUGGCCCGACAUGUGCGGCUUCGUCAGCAACGCCGGCCUGGGCCGCCCGCUCGCCGACCCGCUCGACGGGGACUUCACCGGCGACAACGGCUGGUACGGCACCCACCAGUUCGCGCUCGACGCCAUCUUCCACAACCGGAUGUGGCAGUACGAGUGUCUGACGACCCACUCCGCCCUCGCCAACGCCGUCUUCGUCCCCUUCUACGCCGGCUUCGACUUCGUGCGCUACCACUGGGGCUACGACAACGCCACCAGGGACGCCGCGUCGGUCGACCUCACGGACUGGCUCAUGCGCCGGCCGGAGUGGGCGCGCGCGGGCGGGAGAGACCACUUCCUCGUCGCCGGCAGGACGGGGUUUGACUUCCGGCGGAGCAACAACAUGAACCCGAGCUGGGGCACCAACCUGCUCAACAUGCCGGGCGGGCGGGAGAUGUCGGUGCUGGUGCUGGAGGUGUCACGGGUGCCCCAUAGCCGGGAGUACGCUGUGCCGUACCCGACCUACUUCCACCCGAGGUCCGACGCCGACGUGCGCCGGUGGCAGGAAAGGGUGCGCGGUCUGGAGCGCCGGUCGCUGAUAGCGUUCGUCGGCGCACCGCGGCCGGACAACCCGUACAACAUCCGGCAGCAGAUCAUCGCGCAGUGCGAGGCCUCCGACGCGUGCCGGCAGCUGGGCUGCGCGUUCGGCACCAGCCAGUGCCACACCCCCGGCAACAUCAUGCGGCUGUUCCAGAGGGCCACCUUCUGCCUGCAGCCCACCGGCGACUCCUACACGCGGCGGUCGGCGUUCGACUCCAUGGUGGCCGGCUGCAUCCCGGUGUUCUUCCACCCGGUGUCGGCGUACCUGCAGUACAGGUGGCACCUCCCGGAGCACCACGAAACGUACUCGGUGUUCAUCCCGGAGGACGGCGUGCGGUCGCGGAACGUGAGCAUCGAGGCCGUGCUCCGGGCGAUCCCGCCGGAGACGGUGGAGCGGAUGCGGGACGAGGUGAUAAAGCUGAUACCCAGGCUGGUGUACGCGGACCCAAGGUCGAAGCUGGAGACGGUGAAGGACGCCUUCGACGUCGCCGUCAAGGGGAUCAUCGACAGAGUGGCCAGGGCCCGGGCCGAGGCGGCGGGGGAGGACUCGUCGUUCAGUCACGCCAUGGAGAUGUUUAGGUUCCGGAGAAAGUAA
rnacentral:rRNA from 1 species